AGCUUUGCGCAGUGGCAGUUUCGCAGCCAAUGAGGUUUAUCCGAGGCGCGAUUAUUGCUAAUUCAAAUUACUUUCCAAAUAAAAAUACUGGUUGUGCUCAAUGAUGAUUUAGUAAUAAGUCGAUGUUAUAAAUUAA
ensembl:snRNA U4 U4 spliceosomal RNA